UACGUAGGGUGCAAGCGUUAAUCGGAAUUACUGGGCGUAAAGCGUGCGCAGGCGGUUCGGCAAGAAGGAUGUGAAAUCCCGGGGCUUAACCUCGGAACUGCAUUCUUAACUGCCGGGCUAGAGUAUGUCAGAGGGGGGUAGAAUUCCGCGUGUAGCAGUGAAAUGCGUAGAGAUGCGGAGGAAUACCGAUGGCGAAGGCAGCCCCCUGGGAUAAUACUGACGCUCAUGCACGAAAGCGUGGGGAGCAAACAGG
rnacentral:ncRNA from 2 species